UUACGGCCAUAUCACGUUGAAACAACUGUUCACGUUCGAUUAUAGAAGUUAAGCAAAGUCGGGCCUGGUCAGUAUCUAAUUGAGUAACCGCUUGGAAAUCCCAGGUGCUGUA